GGCCGGAUAGCUCAGUUGGUAGAGCAGGGGAUUGAAAAUCCCCGUGUCGGCGGUUCGAUUCCGUCUCCGGCCA
rfam:Thiothrix lacustris isolate A8 Ga0073116_1214, whole genome shotgun sequence.